rnacentral:tRNA from 1 species
GGAGGAGUUCCCGAGUGGCCAAAGGGAGCAGACUGUAAAUCUGCCGGCUGAUGCCUUCGUAGGUUCGAAUCCUACCUCCUCCACCA